UUCACUGGCAUCUCCUAGGGAAGUUUUUACAAAAUGGAUUCCCAGGCCUCACCCCCAGAUACUGAGAUUCUGUUGGACUGAGGUUGGCUCAGGGUUCCCAGCCAAAUGAUUCCAUGUAAAAUGUGGAAGGUCCAAACUCUAAGAAUCCAGUCUUAGACAGCACCAACCCAUUGAGUCCCUGCAUAUUCUGUCACAGGUAAGCUCUUUCUUGCCUUAGGGAUUUAAGCUGCAGAUGGAAAAUACUAAUUGCUGAUUUACCAACCCAUAGACAUACUGCCCUCCAUAAUAUUUAAUAUGUAACUUGGAAAAACGAAACAAUUCUGUAGAAAACCUCUGAUGUGAAUUACAUCACACUAACAAUGAAAGGGGCCCAGGCCUUAGCAAAGCAUAAUUGCCCAUCCUGCUUUCACUUCUCAGGCCCGCUCCCUUCCAUGCGAUGCAGCUUGCUGCUCCGUAACUGAUCUAAGGCUUUGUGACAGCUCCUCUGUUUUAAGCAACAGUAAAUUCACCCCACAAAGUCAGAAAGGGAGCUUGUUGAUGGCUGCUGUCAAUUUUAUUGCUUUAACCUGUUUACUAGGAUAGACUCUGUAACAUGGUGUGUUUAUUGGUUUUAUGUAUUGCAUGUUGUUGCUGCUCUGACAAGCUACUCCUAUAAAAAUGUGUUAUUAUUGCACGAUGUAGCUCAGUGAGCUGACCCUGCAUUUCAAAGGGUACUGGAGCAAAUAGCACUGAAGUCCAUAAAAGCUGACUGGCCUCCAUCACAGAGGACUCUCUGCAUGAGCUGCAACUCCUACAACCCAGGAGAGAAUUACACCUUUCCCUGUGCCAGCAGCCACUGCUUAGUACAGCACAGCCCUUGAACACAGGCAAUAUCUGUAAAAUUCCAAGACAGAAAACUGUCGUGCCAUUCUUAUUUGUCCAACUCUCCAAUCAGUGUAGUUUGCAAUUUUGAUGUUUAUAAAAGUAUGAAACAAA
rnacentral:lncRNA from 1 species